rnacentral:rRNA from 1 species
UACGUAGGUGGCAAGCGUUGUCCGGAUUUAUUGGGUUUAAAGGGUGCGUAGGCGGCUUUGUAAGUCAGUGGUGAAAUAUGGCAGCUCAACUGUCAGGGUGCCAUUGAUACUGCAGAGCUUGAGUACAGAUGAGGUAGGCGGAAUUGACGGUGUAGCGGUGAAAAUGCUUAGAUAUCGGAAGGAACGCCGGUGGCGAAAGCGACGGACUGGACCUCUUCUGACGCUGAGGCGCGAAAGCCAGGGGGAGCAAACAGGG